AUUCCUACGGGAGGCAGCAGUGGGGAAUCUUGGACAAUGGGCGCAAGCCUGAUCCAGCCAUGCCGCGUGAGUGAUGAAGGCUUUAGGGUCGUAAAGCUCUUUCGCCAGGGAUGAUAAUGACAGUACCUGGUAAAGAAACCCCGGCUAACUCCGUGCCAGCAGCCGCGGUAAUACGGAGGGGGUUAGCGUUGUUCGGAAUUACUGGGCGUAAAACGCGCGUAGGCGGAUCAGAAAGUUGGGGGUGAAAUCCCGGGGCUCAACCCCGGAACUGCCUCCAAAACUCCUGGUCUUGAGUUCGAGAGAGGUGAGUGGAAUUCCGAGUGUAGAGGUGAAAUUCGUAGAUAUUCGGAGGAACACCAGUGGCGAAGGCGGCUCACUGGCUCGAUACUGACGCUGAGGUGCGAAAGUGUGGGGAGCAAACAGGAUUAGAUACCCUGGUAGUCCACACCGUAAACGAUGAAUGCCAGUCGUCGGGUAGCAUGCUGCUCGGUGACACACCUAACGGAUUAAGCAUUCCGCCUGGGGAGUACGGUCGCAAGAUUAAAACUCAAAGGAAUUGACGGAAU
rnacentral:rRNA from 1 species